CUUACACAGGUGCCCUGGUGUCUCAUUUUGAUAAUGAAAUAGAAAUGAAAGGGGCCUGCAGUGUCUUUAAAUCAAAAGGCACAGAGGUUACUUUUAAGUAUCUCAAGGGACACUGUUCUUCCCUCGAAAACACAGUCUGCUGUUCUACAACGUGAAACAUCUUGGUAAAGAGAGGUUUCUCCGCUCGGGAGCCUAGAUGUCCGCUCCAGCAAGCCUUUUGAGGCUCUCCCACUGAGGGCAGAGGUGAAAACGGAUUUACAGUUCCACUGGGAGAGCAGCAGUCUGGGAACUACAAAUCAAAAAGCCUGGGAUGCCUGCAUGUCUGGAACGAGGAGAGAGGAAAACCAAGUUUUCGGCUCGCCAGACUUUGCUCCUAUUUUUCCCCGCUCCGGGACUCCCCCACCGAGCCGCUUCUCGCCGUCCGCAAGUCGUUACGGAGAACUGUCAGUCUGAGAAUAGAGAUGUUGGGAGGAUGAUGUCACUCAGCGGAGGUCUAAUCACCUGACCGCGGCAAGCCACAGACCUUCUCGGCCCAACCGCGGCGGUGGACGGCUAGCUGGAUCGAGGCGACGCUCUGAGGAAAAC
rnacentral:lncRNA from 1 species